rnacentral:rRNA from 1 species
GAUGAACGCUGGCGGCGUGCUUAACACAUGCAAGUCGAACGAAGCACUUAUCUUUGAUUCUUCGGAUGAAGAGGUUUGUGACUGAGUGGCGGACGGGUGAGUAACGCGUGGGUAACCUGCCUCAUACAGGGGGAUAACAGUUAGAAAUGACUGCUAAUACCGCAUAAGACCACGGAGCCGCAUGGCUCAGUGGGAAAAACUCCGGUGGUAUGAGAUGGACCCGCGUCUGAUUAGGUAGUUGGUGGGGUAACGGCCUACCAAGCCAACGAUCAGUAGCCGACCUGAGAGGGUGACCGGCCACAUUGGGACUGAGACACGGCCCAAACUCCUACGGGAGGCAGCAGUGGGGAAUAUUGCACAAUGGGGGAAACCCUGAUGCAGCGACGCCGCGUGAGCGAAGAAGUAUUUCGGUAUGUAAAGCUCUAUCAGCAGGGAAGAAAAUGACGGUACCUGACUAAGAAGCACCGGCUAAAUACGU